rnacentral:rRNA from 1 species
GACGAACGCUGGCGGCGUGCUUAACACAUGCAAGUCGAACGGAAAGGCCCUGCUUUUGUGGGGUGCUCGAGUGGCGAACGGGUGAGUAACACGUGAGUAACCUGCCCUUGACUUUGGGAUAACUUCAGGAAACUGGGGCUAAUACCGGAUAGGAGCUCCUGCUGCAUGGUGGGGGUUGGAAAGUUUCGGCGGUUGGGGAUGGACUCGCGGCUUAUCAGCUUGUUGGUGGGGUAGUGGCUUACCAAGGCUUUGACGGGUAGCCGGCCUGAGAGGGUGACCGGCCACAUUGGGACUGAGAGACGGCCCAGACUCCUACGGGAGGCAGCAGGGGGGAAUAUGGCACAGUGGGCGGAAGCCUGAGGAAGCAACGCCGCGUGCGGGAUGACGGCCUUCGGGGUGUAAACCGCUUUCGCCUGUGACGAAGCGUGAGUGACGGUAAUGGGUAAAGAAGCACCGGCUAACUACGUG